UCGGGUUGUAAAGCACUUUUGUCCGGAAAGAAAACUUCUGCAUUAAUACUGCGGGAGGAUGACGGUACCGGAAGAAUAAGCACCGGCAACUACGUGCCAGCAGCCGCGGUAAUACGUAGGGUGCGAGCGUUAAUCGGAAUUACUGGGCGUAAAGCGUGCGCAGGCGGUUCGUUAAGACAGAUGUGAAAUCCCCGGGCUUAACCUGGGAACUGCAUUUGUGACUGGCGAGCUAGAGUAUGGCAGAGGGGGGUAGAAUUCCACGUGUAGCAGUGAAAUGCGUAGAGAUGUGGAGGAAUACCGAUGGCGAAGGCAGCCCCCUGGGCCAAUACUGACGCUCAUGCACGAAAGCGUGGGGAGCAAACAGGAUUAGAUACCCUGGUAGUCCACGCCCUAAACGAUGUCAACUAGUUGUUGGGGAUUCAUUUCCUUAGUAACGUAGCUAACGCGUGAAGUUGACCGCCUGGGGAGUACGGUCGCAAGAUUAAAACUCAAAGGAAUUGACGGGGACCCGCACAAGCGGUGGAUGAUGUGGAUUAAUUCGAUGCAACGCGAAAAACCUUACCUACCCUUGACAUGGUCGGAACCCUGCUG
rnacentral:rRNA from 1 species